rnacentral:rRNA from 2 species
GAAAAGAAACCAACAGGGAUUGCCUCAGUAACGGCGAGUGAAGCGGCAACAGCUCAAAUUUGAAAUCUGGCGCAAGCCCGAGUUGUAAUUUGUAGAGGAUGCUUCUGGGCAGCGGCCGGUCUAAGUUCCUUGGAACAGGACGUCAUAGAGGGUGAGAAUCCCGUAUGCGACCGGUUGGCACCCGUCACGUAGCUCCUUCGAAGAGUCGAGUUGUUUGGGAAUGCAGCUCUAAAUGGGAGGUAAAUGUCUUCUAAAGCUAAAUAUUGGCCAGAGACCGAUAGCGCACAAGUAGAGUGAUCGAAAGAUGAAAAGCACUUUGGAAAGAGAGUUAAAAAGCACGUGAAAUUGUUGAAAGGGAAGCGCAAGCAAUCAGACUUGUCGGCGGUGUUCCCCCGGUCUUCUGACCGGGUCACUCGCCGCCGGCAGGCCAACAUCAUUUGGGUGCGCCGGAUAAAGACGUGAGGAAUGUGGCCCCCUCGGGGGUGUUAUAGCCUCGCGUGCAAUACGGUGUCGCCCGAGUGAGGUCCGCGCUUCGGCUAGGAUGUUGGCGUAAUGGUUGUUUGCGGCCCGUCUUGAAACACGGACCAAGGAGUCUAACAUCUAUGCGAGUGUUCGGGUGUCAAACCCCUACGCGUAAUGAAAGUGAACGGAGGUGGGAACGAAAGUGCACCAUCGACCGAUCCUGAUGUCUUCGGAUGGAUUUGAGUAAGAGCAUAGCUGUUGGGACCCGAAAGAUGGUGAACUAUGCCUGAAUAGGGUGAAGCCAGAGGAAACUCUGGUGGAGGCUCGCAGCGGUUCUGACGUGCAAAUCGAUCGUCAAAUUUGGGUAUAGGGGCGAAAGACUAAUCGAACCA